rnacentral:lncRNA from 1 species
UUAGAUGUCUAAAGAUAAUUUUCUUAAUUAAGUUCACUACGUGAUGGUAAUAUCUAUCAUGAUCAUUAUCGGAAUCUUGAUAUUGAAACUUGAGGUGUUGUGAAAUGAUGAAAACUCUCUUGAUUAACCAUAAUCUUUCUUAUGGUUGACCAUGAUCGUGAUCAGUAUACCAUGUAAGAAUGGAUCUAAGAAUUCACAAAUGGGGAGGGGG